CCCUGCCCUUUGUACACACCGCCCGUCGCUACUACCGAUUGAAUGGCUCAGUGAGGCCUUCGGACGGGCUCGAAGAGGUUGGCAACGACCGCUUCGAGCCGGAAAGUUCGUCAAACUCGGUCAUUUAGAGGAAGUAAAAGUCGUAACAAGG
rnacentral:rRNA from 1 species